rnacentral:rRNA from 1 species
UACAGAGGGUGCAAGCGUUACUCGGAAUUACUGGGCGUAAAGCGUGCGUAGGCGGUUUGUUAAGUCCGUUGUGAAAGCCCUGGGCUCAACCUGGGAAUUGCAGUGGAUACUGGCGAGCUAGAGUGCGGUAGAGGAUGGUGGAAUUCCCGGUGUAGCGGUGAAAUGCGUAGAGAUCGGGAGGAACACCCGUGGCGAAGGCGGCCAUCUGGACCAGCACUGACGCUGAGGCACGAAAGCGUGGGGAGCGAACAGG